rnacentral:tRNA from 5 species
CGGGGCGUAGCGCAGCCUGGUAGCGCACUUGACUGGGGGUCAAGUGGUCGCAAGUUCAAAUCUUGCCGUCCCGACCA